rnacentral:rRNA from 1 species
GGUAGGGCCUGCACACUGAAUUUUUAAAGAGCCGCAGUAUUUUGACUGUGCAAAGGUAGCAUAAUCAUUAGUAUAUUAAUUGUAUACUGGAAUGAAAGGUUUGACGAGGAAUAUACUGUCUCUUUCUAAUUUAUAGAAUUUUACUUUUUAGUUAAAAGGCUGAAAUUUUUUUUUUGGACGAUAAGACCCUAUAGAAUUUAAUUUAUUAUUUAUUAUUAAUUUGGGUUAUUUUUUAUUUUUAUGUUAUAAUUAAAUUUAGUUGGGGCGAUUUGAAUAAUUAAUAAACUGUUCAUUUAUUUUUUCAUUGAUUAAUGUUUUUAUGAUCCUUUAUUAUAGAUUAUAAGAUUAAAUUACCUUAGGGAUAACAGCGCAAUCAUCUUUGAGAGUUCUUAUUGACAGGAUUGGAUUGUGACCUCGAUGUUGGAUUAAGAUUAUUAAUUAGGUGAAGAUGCUUAAAUUAUUGGUCUGUUCGACCAUUAAAAUCUUACGUGAUCUGAGUCAAAAACCGG